rnacentral:rRNA from 1 species
GACGAACGCUGGCGGCGUGCUUAACACAUGCAAGUCGAACGGAAAGGCCCUGCUUUUGUGGGGUGCUCGAGUGGCGAACGGGUGAGUAACACGUGAGUAACCUGCCCUUGACUUUGGGAUAACUUCAGGAAACGGGGGCUAAUACCGGAUAGGAGCUCCUGCUGCAUGGUGGGGGUUGGAAAGUUUCGGCGGUUGGGGAUGGACUCGCGGCUUAUCAGCUUGUUGGUGGGGUAGUGGCUUACCAAGGCUUUGACGGGUAGCCGGCCUGAGAGGGUGACCGGCCACAUUGGGACUGAGAUACGGCCCAGACUCCUACGGGAGGCAGCAGUGGGGAAUAUUGCACAAUGGGCGGAAGCCUGAUGCAGCAACGCCGCGUGCGGGAUGACGGCCUUCGGGUUGUAAACCGCUUUCGCCUGUGACGAAGCGUGAGUGACGGUAAUGGGUAAAGAAGCACCGGCUAACUACGUG